AACCGGGCCCUGCGCGGCAGGCGCUUCUGAACCGUGUCAGGACCGGAAGGUAGCAGCACUAAGGACAGUUUCCUGGGUGCCGCAGGAACACCCGGUUUGA
rnacentral:SRP_RNA from 1 species